UCCGAGCCCGGGCUUCAUAUUUCUCCACGGGUCAGGCCUGGGCAAAAUCUCAGGUCCAUAUUUCGGGCUGGGCCGGGCCUGGGCAUAGCAAUCGGGCUGAAAAUUUUUUUUUGGGCCCGGCAUGAGCACUUCUACGCCCAAGUCAACUAUGAACCUACUAUAAGGUCGAUAAGCAUCACUUAGACCUCUAAUUGUACGAACUGACUAUUUUAUUAUAUAUGUUGAGCAUGAUGAUAGUAUGCUUGUAUAUUGAACUGGUUAUAUGUACUGAUGUCCUGAGAUAGCAUAUCAUGACUUGUAUGUUACAAUUGCAUGGGUUGGGUUAAUUAUAUUUGGAGGAAGUGUACUGAGAGGCUCUUAAGCCUAACAUACUAGUAGCUCAGCUGUAAAUUACUGUUUUGUACCGCAUUCGGUACUACCUGAAGUGUAGGGAUGGGUGGGUUGAUUUGAUCCCCACAUGGAGUGUAGGGUUGGACGGAGAUGGUGUGUAGAGGCUGGUUGGGUAGGACUUUGUUACUGAAUACUGCAUGACUGCUACUAAUACUGUGAUGGGCUAAGGCCCUACUGCAUAUUUGAUACUGUACUGAGAUGGGCUAAAGCUCAAACUGUUACUGAUACUGAAAAAGGCUUAGGCCCAGGACUGCGUUAACUGUAUACUGUGAUAUGCUAUUGUUUGUUUUAUGUGGGAUUACACACUAAGUUUUCGUAAACUUACCCCUUUUAUUUAAAUGUGCACAUCUAAUCCCCAGAUCUAGACGGAUCGGUGCGGCGGAGGACUCGGCAGUGACCACGGUUUUUGACUUUCAUGGUUUUUAACCCAUAUUUACGAUAAUUGGUUUUAUUUCUAUUCUAUUUUUAUUGGCUAAGUUUUUGGGUUGUAAUUGGACUUUCGGACUUUGGUUUUGGGUUUUAAUUAUCUUUACC
rnacentral:lncRNA from 1 species